AAAGCAUCUAAGCACGAAACUUGCCCCGAGAUGAGUUCUCCCUGAGACUAUAAGUCUCCUGAAGGAACGUUAAAGACGAUGACGUUGAUAGGUCGGGUGUGUAAGUGUAGCGAUACAUUGAGCUAACCGAUACUAAUGAACCGUGAGGCUUAACCUU
rnacentral:rRNA from 1 species